rnacentral:lncRNA from 1 species
GGAAGUGCCUCGCGACGCGGGGCCGCCACCGCCGCCGGGCCGAGGGAGGGCCCGGCAACCGCCGCCUGCGCGCCGGCUGCCCCUCGGCUCCUGGGAGCCGCGGCGCUACGGGCCUGCCGAGCACUCGGGCGGGCGCCGAGCAGGCUGGGCCCCGGCGCAGUGGCCUAGCCUGGACCGCAAGGCCGAAGCCGCCUCCGGGCCGCGUCCCGGUGUUUCGGGUUGUGUAACCUUGGCCAAAAUGCUUAAGCUUUUUUCCUGGCUGCCAAAUGGGGCCGAUCGUCUGACCUGCUGCCUCCGGAACUUGAGGGAUCAGAUCAAAUAACCCUUUCCUGGCGCUCGUCUGCCGCUGUGAAUGAAUCACGGGCUCCUGUAAUCACCGUUAGGAGAGAUUGUUAAACUCGUACAGGGUUGGAUGUUUUAAAGUUACUGAAUAUUUACUGGACCCCUACUGUUCAAUCAAGACAUGCUAAGUUAGCUUGCCAUUCUUGUUCAUUUAUGUGUUUACUUAACUAUUUCUGGGUCUCCUCUUCCCAGUCAUAAAUAUCUCUUGGAGUGUAAGCUCCUCGGAGCAGAGAUCCUGUUUCCGUAUUUCCUGUACCUAGAACAGUGCCAGAUCCGUAGUAGACACUGAAACAAAAAAUCUUUAAAAAAAAAAAAAUAUACGAAUGUGGCACCACCAUUUACACAGGCCACUAAGCCAAAAAUCUCGAACUUGUCAGAUUGUCUCUUCUCAGCCAUCAGCAGUCAACAAGUUCUAGCAUUUGGUCUCUUAAAAGUGGUUCAAGAGUUUAUUUUUCCUCUCCUUCCUCUGCCAGUACCAACCAGUCUUCCGUAUCACUAUGUAUUGCAAGAGUCUCACAAGAAGAUAUCCAUCACUGACUGAUCUUCCUCCCGUUUAACAUCCCCAACAGGUGCCAGGGUGAUGUUUUUUUUAUUCUAAAAAGAAACCAGAUUAUAUCGCUCACUCCCUUGCUUAAAACAGUUCUUCAAUGUUAGGUAAAUAAAUCAUGGAGUCACCACGAGGGCGUUCAUCUGCCAGGCACUAUUCUGAACGAUAUUGGCUCAUUAAAUUCUCACAGAAACCCUAUGCAGCAGGUACGGUGAAAAUGUUCCUGUUACAGAUGAGGUAACUGAAGCACAGAGAGCUUGAGUGGCUUGCUGAAACACCAGACCCACUCAGUCUGGCUCCAUAAUAGGUCUUUUUGCUGGUAAUGAUUUACCAACUAUACAGCCACUUUAAAAAAAGGAAAUAGGGCCCUUGUGACUGGACCUCAUGCCAAACAACUCGUUACAAAAAGAGCUAGGGUUCCAGACUGCGCCGAAGCUUCAUGAGACCUCUCCUUGUCUGCAUGGACGAGUGGCCAACUCUGGAGCCCAGGCUGUUGCUUCCCAGUCUGGUGGUGAAUCCUCCAUAGUCUGGUGAGUGUAAAUACAUAUAUAUAUCUUUUCCCUUCUCCCUUCCCAUUGCAAUUUGCUUAUUAUAUCAUUUGCUUAUAUCUGCACUGCCAUUUGGGAUAAAGCUUGUUUACCCUUAAAGGUAUUGUGUGUGUGUCUCCUCCCGCGCGCAUUUCCCACACAGAACACCUAAGAACCUAUUUUUUAUGAUUUUUACGAGAAGUGAAUUCCAAGUUGUGCCUCAGAAUUCAGAAUAUAUCUUUCAACCUCCUACUCAUCCCCUCACCACCCUGGUGAACACAGUGUCUGGCCAGCAGGAAUGAAUGAAGAAGACUAUUUUAUGUUCUUAAUAACUUGCUUGGAAAUGAACAGAGCACAAUUUAUCAAACCAAAGCAAAUAUUUAUACAGGCAGAUCCCUUAAAAUUGAGGAUUAAUGCUUAGGAAGAAUUUUUUAGAAUUUUCCAAAUUAACCACUUGUCUUUCUCAGAAAUAAAUCUGUUACUGAUGCUUCCUCCACCAACCAGCUGCAAAACCACACACUAUUCUUUGAAGGAGGAACACAGAAAACCAACUUACUUCCUGGGGCAUUUGGGAGAGGAAUCUAAAAAUCCUAGUGAUAUGGCAAUGACUAGAACCUUUUUUUUUUUUGUAACAACAAAGCUAAAAGGGGAUGUGUAACUUAGCUUGACUUGUAAAAAUAUUCGUAGAAGUCAUCUAUAUUUUACCACUUUGUGUAACUAAGGCAGAGCAUUAGAGAUUAUUCACAUCAUUAAAUAUGUCCAGUUAAAUUAUUAGAUUACAACACCAACCUCUUGUUCAUAGUCUCUCAGUCUUCAGCUGGGCACGGGGGCUCACGCCUGUAAUGCCACCACUUUGGGAUGCCGAGACGGGCGGAUCACUUGAGGUCAGGAGUUUGAGACCAACCUGGGCAACAUGGUGAAACCCCGUCUCUACUAAAAAUACAAAAAUUAGCUAGGCGUGGUGGCAGGUGCCUAUAAUCCCAGCCACUCGGGAGGCUGAGGCGGGAGAAUCACUGGAACCCAAGAGGUGGAAAUUGCAGUAAGCCAAGAUGGCACCACUGCACUCCAGCCUGGGUGACAAGAGCAAAACUCUUGUCUCAAAAAAAAAAAAAAAAAAAUAGUCUCUCAGUCUUCAUACUUUGUUGCUUAGUUGGAUUAUCUGCUCCUAGGUUUUAAUAUAAGAUGAAAUAAAAGUGCUGGCCUAGGAAUUGGAGGCCAAUUUACCUUAGGGGCAAAGGCAAUGGUGGUGAAUAUACCCAACAGCUUCACUUUCUAUGGAGCCAGCUUGUAAAAUCUUGGGCAAGGAUGGUGGCAGCAGAGCUGUCUGCCUAAGCAUCAUGUAGAAAAUUUUUUAAUGGUUUCUUUGGACCCUAGCUUGCAGUGUCAUUUCUGCUUCUCAUUGUAUUGGAAAUCCAUGGUUUUGUUACAUAAUGUACUCCUAAAAAUGUAUACACAUGUGUUGAGUAUGUGGAAGUUGAAUAUAUUUAUGUUAUAAAUGAGCAGUUCUGUUUCUGGAAAAUGAAAAUUUUCACCUCAUCACUACAGACAUUCUUUGAUAACACAGUCCCAGUGUUUCAUCCAGAUUAUUUCAUUUUCUUCUUUUACAUAUAACCAACCAUUUUGGAUGUUAAAGGAACAACCAGUGAGGGCUUAAGAUCUGCUGCUUUUGACUUGGCACUCCUGAUCAGUUCCAUCCGUGUCUCAAGUGUAUCACAUUCACGAGACAAGGCUUCUCAUCAGCAAUUUCAAUUUUAUGUUUUCUACUUAUUUUUAUAUAAGAAUACAAUGCAACAAAAUAUUCAUAUAUUGCACAAACAGUGAUGUGCAUACAAAGAUGCUAACAACAUUGGCUGGUAAUAGGCUUUACCAUGUUACGAUCUAAAUGCUUGUUCAUCAGAGAAUGUACAAAAUUCUAAGUUUGGCAUCCAAAAGGGGGCUUACAGUUAUUGAAUAUUUUUCCCAGCCCUAUUUUAAAUCAAAUUCAAGUUUGCCUAUGACAAAGACUGUCUAUAAGUAACAGGGCAAGCAUACCAACAUCAAAAUUAUUCUUCUUCUUAUCUCACGUGCCCCUAUUUCUCCCAAAUAAGUGACAAGGAGAGUAAAAGGAUCACUGAGGGAACAUUUGAAGAAUGCUACUAAGUGCCAGGUCCUGUACAAGGUAAUUAAUUACUACAAACACUCUCGUGAUGGACAUGGCCAAUAGUGUAUUUUGUCAAAAAACAAAAACAAAACCCAAGAUUCCAGAAGCUGUUUCUGACAAGAAGUCCUUGUUUCAGUACUCUUCAGUAUGAGUCCUUACUUGCAGGACUGAGGAAUGAAAUUGAGAAAGAACCUUUAAUCAUUAGAAAAGGACCCAAUAAAACUAUACUUAAAUGGAUCAUUAAUGUGGAUUUUUUUACAUUCGUGUGGGAUAGAGAAUAAUCCCAUGGGAAACAAACACAUUUUGAAUAUUUUUUAAAGAAGUAUUUCUGAUUCUAAUUUUACUGUAUGUUUAGGCAUCAUUAAGGACCUCUGAUUUGAAGGUAGAUUUAUGUGCCAGGGACUCCAAAUUCAUGACAUGUUUUAAGGCUCCAUAUUCCAUGCAAAAAUGGACUUACUGAGCAUGGUGGUAAUAAUAAGUAUGUAAAAAAUAGAUAACUACAGUCGUACUUUGGUAUCCAUGGGGGAUUGGUUCCAGGAUCCCCCAGUAUCAAAAUCCACAAAUGCUCAAGUCCCAUAUAUAAAAUAGCAUAGUAUUUGCAUAUAACCUAUGCACAUCCUCCUGUAUGCUUUAAAUCAUUUCUAGAUUUCUUAUAAUAUCUAAUACAAUGCCUACACAUCACUUCAUUUACAUGAAUUCAACAUACUUCUUGGCAUGCAGCAAAUUCAAGUUUUGCUUUUUGAAACUUUGUAGAUUUUUUUUCAAAUAUUUUUGAUCCAAGGUUGGUUGAAUCCACGGACACAGAACCCAUGGAUUUGAAAGGCUGACUGUAUUUCUAUUUUAGGUUUGUUUUUCCUCCUCAGAAGCCUCAACGAAGAAAAAGUCAAAGGUCCUUCUCUCUCUAUGACCAGAAAUAAAACCUAUAAAGGAAAUAGAGCACUAAGUGGGGUCCCUGGAAUCCCCAGCUUCUGGUUUCCAGCCACUUCUAGAUGUUCUCUGGAAACAUAACUGCGUUGAAACCAUACUGAAGUAUAAAUUCCCAAAUUGGAAAGAAAACAAACAAACUUGGUAGUCUCAUGCCUGGGAGAUACGGAAGAUGGAAAAUUCUGGAAGACCAAUAGGCACUGAUGAAUUUCUACAUCUGGGCAUUUCUUGAGGGAGAGAGGGCCUGGCUAUUUGGAGAUGGAAAAUGUGGUGACCUAGAAUGAGCAGGCCCAGUCUAGACUAACCUCUUUAUUUAACCAACUGAAUAGUCUUGGUUCCAGACUUCUGUGGAACCUCAGAUUUGCCUUCUGUAUAAGAGGAGUUUGUACUAAUCCCUCUAGUCUUUUUCAGUUGGUUGUGUGUGACCAGCCCUAGCACUUAAAUACCCUGCUGAAUAUACAGAAAAGUAGAAGAAUUAUUUUAAAAUUAGGUCACUUAUCUUACUUGAAUACUACAAGUCUCACACUAUAACCUCUUCUAGAAAUCAGGCUGAACUAGCAAAUACAUAAAGACUAAUAUAAGUGCAUUUCAGUAAAAUCACUGGUGAAGUACAUUUAUGAUCAUUCUUUUUAGGCUUCUGAUAUGGCAAAUUAGAGGUAAGUAUUUCGAUUAAGUCUUCAUCCUUUUGGCAAACAAGUAUAUGGUUCGAUAUACUUGGUGAUGGUGAAUGAAGCCCUUAGUUUUUCACUUCUUCGUGCCUUAAUAAAAUCUUCGAGGCAAGCCCAAACCAGCAGGGCUGCAGCAUUAUCAGCAAUGAGAAUGGAUCUUAAGGUCAACAGUCAUGCUAUAAAACUCAACAUGAAGACAUCAUUAACAGGCUGAAGACUGUGAGUCUUAAAGUCCUGAAGUAGGCAGGUUUUAGGAGGUGGAAUCAGCGUCCUCUGGGUGGAACAGGUGGAG